rnacentral:rRNA from 1 species
GAUAAACGCUAGCGGCAGGCUUAACACAUGCAAGUCGAGGGGCAGCAUAGAUUGUAGCAAUACAAUUGGUGGCGACCGGCGCACGGGUGCGUAACGCGUAUGCAACCUACCCGUCACAGGGGGAUAAUCCGGAGAAAUCUGGUCUAAUACCCCAUAACAUAUGGAUCGGCAUCGGUUCAUGUUGGAAUUUUCGGAGGUGACGGAUGGGCAUGCGUAGCAUUAGCUUGUGGGUGAGGUAACGGCUCACCAAGGCGGCGAUGCUUAGGGGGACUGAGAGGUUUUCCCCCCACAAGGGUAAGGAGAGACGGACUAGACUCCAACGGGCGGCAGAGGUGAGGAAUAUUGGUCAAGGGGGGCAAGCCUGAACCACCCAUGCCGCGUGCAGGAUGACGGCGCUAUGAGUUGUAAACUGCUUUUGUACGAGGGUAAAGUGGUUUACGUGUAACCUUUUGAAAGUAUCGUACGAAUAAGGAUCGGCUAACUCCGUGCCAGCCGCCGCGGUAA